UACGUAGGGGGCUAGCGUUGUCCGGAAUCAUUGGGCGUAAAGCGCGUGUAGGCGGUCCGGUAAGUCCGCUGUGAAAGUCGGGGGCUCAACCCUCGGAUGCCGGUGGAUACUGUCGGGCUUGAGUACGGAAGAGGCGAGUGGAAUUCCUGGUGUAGCGGUGAAAUGCGCAGAUAUCAGGAGGAACACCAAUGCGAAGGCAGCUCGCUGGGACGUUACUGACGCUGAGAACGCGAAAGCGUGGGGAGCAAACAGG
rnacentral:rRNA from 1 species